GGUGCUCCUAAAUUGUACUUCAAUGCAAAUCUAUUGAUUGAAAAUUGGUCACGAUGUUCGACAGAUCUAUACAAAUAGAAAAAAAGUAAUAAGUAGGUACUUUUACUUUGGUCUCUGCAGAAAAGUCUGAAGGUCAAAAUAAUUUUUCAAUGUACUACAAAGGAUUAAGGAACUAAUUUUUUACAUAAUUAUCGAGAACAAAAAGAAUAAGUACUUAAGCAAGUUUUUCAAACAAUGGAAGUAAUGGACCUUACAACCAAAAAUAUCUAACUAGAACCAUACAACCGUAUAAAGAGCUUAUAUAUAAGAAGAAAGUGAUCAACACGAUUAAAAUCCUUCUCAGUUCUCAAAAUUCGCAUAAAUCGCAUCGACCUGACAAUUAUUAUAUUUUAAAGUAUCCGGUUAUAGUUUUGAAAGGAUGAGUUGCAUAAUACUUGUUAAUACUUUGUUAAUACUUACCUAAUGAACCAUCUGGCUUUAAACUGUGUUGCUUAUUGUAGUCGUAGAAUAGAAACUAAAAACGCCCCGGGAAAUAAUUUAAGUACGGUCCCCUGCUUUCAGCCUGUGCUACGAAGUAGUUAGAACUGAAUAAUUUUUCACUCACUUACCUAUUGAAUAUUCCCAUUUUUACAUUUUAAUGUUUUUUUUUCUUAAUAUUUCAUUAAAUUCCUAUAAAUAUACUGCAUUUCUGUAUAUUUAGAUGUAGGUAUAUUAUAAUUUAUGAUUCAAUAUAAAAUAUAAGAUGGACAAGACAAUAAAUAUUAGCGUGUAGUGAUGGUAACUGUGAUUUAUAACUAUAGAGUAUAGUCUAAGGUUGCCAAUUUUUUUCAUUUUAAAA